AAUUCUGUGAUUUUUGGGCAAAUGUCAAGACUUAUAUCUCUGUGAUUAUUUACUGUUUUUGUUGUUUAAAAGUUGUUAGGUGUAGCUUGUUAUGUGGUCUUUAAACUCUAAAAGGAAUCAGGUCUAUAUCUAUUGUAGAUCGGGAUUUAUAAGCGGUCAAAGUGGGUUGACCGACAUUGACCGGCUGUUUUUCAAACUCAGAAAAUAUUCUAAGUGUCCAGAAUUAUUUUUUUGGGCAAAUGUCAGGCUUUAUAUCUCGGUUAUAUUUAAUGUGUUUUGUGUUCUAAAGGUUGAUAUGUGUAGAUUGUUAUGUGUUAUUUAACCUCCAAAAAGAAUCAGGUCCAUAUAUAUUACGGAUUAAGAGUUAUUUAAGAUCAAAAUGGGUUGACCGGCAUUGACCAGAAAAUUCUGGGCAGCCCAGAAUUUUCUAAGUGUUGUUUUUUUUGAUAAGGUUUGACCAUACUUUAGAUUCUUGAUUUAUUGUUGUUAUGAUGAUUUUAAGUGUUAGAGUUGUAGUCCUACAUGUUGUCUACACACUGGAAUUGAUAAGAUCGGUAAAAGUUACACGAUCAUCAAGUUAUAGAGGUCCAAAGUAGGCACCUCGAACUGUUCUUCGUGAAGAACAGCUUUGGUAGCUACUUUGAUGGCUGAUUUAUCCCAGAUCUGAUGUUUGUUUAGAGGUUAUGAUUGUUG
rnacentral:lncRNA from 1 species